rnacentral:sRNA from 1 species
AGGUUCCACCCUUUUCUGGCAACCUGAGUAUCAACCUAUACUGAAUCUCACUCUGUUGUCCAGGCUGGAGUGCGGUGGCACCAUCUCCGCUCACUGCAACCUCUGGCUCCCAGGUUCAAGCGAUUCUCCUGCCUCAGCCCCCUGAGUAGCUGGGAUUACAGGCGCGCGCCACCACUCCCAGUUCACACCCCGCUACUCCUGAGUGCCACACACCGGCUUCCUCCCAGUCCCUCAUCUGAGAACUCAUGAAGCCACCUGGAAUCCCUUUCUGCUUUGCCUGGCUCAUUCCAUCUCAAUUUCAGAUCUUCGCUACAGGUCAGCUCCAAGGAGGAGCUCUCAAAACCUAGCUCUCAAAACCUAGCUCUUUUCCUUCAGAGCACUGGCCUCCAAUUGUAAGUAGAUAUUUAUCUGUUUACUAUGUGUCUCCAUCACUAGGCUAUACACUUCAGGAGGGGAGAAUUUUUUGUUUUGGUUCUCUGCCAUAAGAGUGCAUGGUAUUUACUAAGCAUGCAAUAAAUAGUUGUUGGGGAGAAAAAGAAU